rnacentral:rRNA from 1 species
AUGGAGCUCAUCGACAGCGGGUUGGCGCUGAUGGAGAUCUCCAUGGGCGAGUCCAGUACAAAGACGAGGAUGAAGAGCAUUAGAGAGGCGGAGCAAACCAAUCUGAGGCGCAUCAGAGAGUUGCAGGAGAGGAUCCGGAGGAGGCAGGAGCAACUUGUUCGCGAUCCACAGCCACCUCUUCGCUACGAGUUUGAGAAGGCUCCUACAGAUGAGCAGGAGGCUGAGGACUACCGUCAAAUGAGGGAGAUGUGCUUUCGCCUUAAUUUCGGUUCAAUCGACGGGGAAACUUCUCUUGGUCCCAUUUGCUGUACAACCGGAACCAACCCAGCAGAUGCUCUUCCGGAGAGCUGCAUGCAGAUCUUCUCCAUCAAAGUCACUGACCUAAACAAUGAUCUCAGCUUGCCACUGGAGGUUCAUGGCUUUGUUGCUGCCAGGGACUCGGUAGAUCGUAAACGCAACUAUCUCUUCAGAUGCACCAGGGAUAACUGCCAAACCCUCACUCCGAAGGAUCCAUUCUUGCACUUAACAGGCCCCUCUCGAGCGGUUCUGUUAAUUGACCUUGUUGCGAUUGAAGUUCAGCUAAAAGUAAAGGGCAAAAAGGAGUCUGAAGAUGAAGUGUUAGCUUUCAAAUGUUUUUAUUUCCAUGAAAGGUAUCAUUUAGAAGAUGGGAUCCGUUUUCGCAUCCCCAGCAAGCGCUGCAUGCUUGAGUUUGCUUUGGCAGUGCUGCCUAUGUCAGUUGAGGCCAUUGUGGGCAUCCGAGUUGUUGAUGGGUCAUGGCCUGAUCAUUGUCCGGGGUUGGUUGUUUGCAGUACCAACAGUGUAAAAGAAGGGAAAGUGGUGCUGCUUGAUUUUCAAAAUGGAGAGUUGCCUACCAAGUCAGAUGGUGUGGUUGAGCUUGCAAGGCGUGUUGUUUCUGUUGAUUACCCAGAGGGAAAACUUACUGUUUCUGUGGAGGCCUCGCGGGGUCGAUUUUCUGCACGAGGUACAGUCGACUUUGGGAUGAAAGUGCCAAGGGGAAGUGCUGCUCGCACGUGUGAUCUGGUUUUCUGCAAAAUGCUAGUUACAGUUGCUUGGUCCCUUGUUUCUUGCUAUCGGGUUUAA